UCCAGCACGUUUUAGGGGUUUCUUUGUUCCAGCACACCUGAUCUGAAUGAAUAGGUGAUUAACAGGCUUCUGCAGAACUUGUCGUCACUGAACCAGGGUUGGAAUUGCUUUAAGACAGCAGCAUGUUGCAGAUUAGCUGUUUGUGCUUAAUCCACUCAACUCCAUUUCUUCAAAGUUGACAUUUUUUCAAGAAGCUAUCUACAGCAGUGUGUCUCAGGUACUGGUUUUGUGCGGGACACUGAAGACAUCCUGCAGCCUCUCCUCCACUCCAUUAGGCUGGGGCGGGAUGAAGUGUUUGUAUGUGGCCUAGUGAAGGAGGAGGCCCUAAAAAACACACACAAAAAAGAAGCUAAGUUCUUYGCUCCUCCUGUCCUCCCUUCCGGAGCCGAUCUCCUCUAGUCGUCUCAUCUAAAAACAAUUAGUUCUCCCGAGCAGACUGAGCAGCCAGUCGGGUCGUAAAGCGGGUGCACUGCGUGUCUCCUGCGCUCAUCUAUGUGUGUGUGUGUGUGUGUGUGUGUGUGUUGUCUGGUGCUCUCCUGCUGGGGAGCAUAACAUUACCCCUACAAAGAUCACCGCACAGGAUGCUUCCGACGUCUCAGUGACCUUUCACCUUCAGUAAGGAGGAUGAGAGGAAACAGACGGGGGUACGUGGGAGUGAGCAUCGUGGCCCUGAGGUCUCCAGGAAUUACUGUCGGGCUCAGGUACGACAACAAGUCUGGUCCAGUGUCGUACAGUGAAAGGUACAAAAUGGAAAACUGUUAAAUUAGUUUAGAGUCAUGUCCCAGAUUUUAUCAUGGCUCAAGCAAAAUCUGGUUGAACAAUACAAACAGAGUUUUAGUUGUUACAGGGUUUUGUUCUGUUGCUUGCACUUUUUUACCACUUUAAAAAGUAACCAGCUAAUUAAGUAAAAAAAAAGGCCUAUUUUUCUACAAAAUUUUUUAAAAUUAUGUCAGA